GCAUAUUCAAAAAGCGGAGGAAAAGAAACCAACAGGGAUUGCCUCAGUAACGGCGAGUGAAGCGGCAAAAGCUCAAAUUUGAAAUCUGGUUGUGCCUGGCGCAGCCCGAGUUGUAAUUUGAAGAAGGCGACUCUGGAGGCGGCCCUUGCCUAUGUUCCUUGGAACAGGACGUCACAGAGGGUGAGAAUCCCGUGCGGCGAGGUGGCCCCGGCUCCGUGUAGAGCGCUUUCGAAGAGUCGAGUUGUUUGGGAAUGCAGCUCUAAGUGGGUGGUAAAUUCCAUCUAAAGCUAAAUAUUGGCGAGAGACCGAUAGCGAACAAGUACAGUGAUGGAAAGAUGAAAAGAACUUUGAAAAGAGAGUGAAAAAGUACGUGAAAUUGUUGAAAGGGAAGGGUAUUAGAUCAGACUUGGCGGUUGCUGGGGAUCCCCCCCUGCCCUUGUGGCGGGAGGGCUACUCCCUGCGCGCUGGGCCAGCAUCGAUUCGGACGGCGGGAGAAUGGCGUGGAGAAUGUGGCAGCGGCCCUUUGCGGGGCUGGUGUGCUUAUAGCUCUGGGCAGAUGCCGCCUGUGUGGAUCGAGGAGUGCGUCCUUAGGGACUAGGAUGCUGGCGUAAUGAUCUAACACCGCCCGUCUGAA
rnacentral:rRNA from 1 species